GAUGAACGCUGGCGGCGUGCCUAAUACAUGCAAGUCGAGCGAACAGACGAGGAGCUUGCUCCUCUGACGUUAGCGGCGGACGGGUGAGUGACACGUGGAUAACCUACCUAUAAGACUGGGAUAACUUCGGGAAACCGGAGCUAAUACCGGAUAAUAUAUUGAACCGCAUGGUUCAAUAGCGAAAGACGGUUUUGCUGUCACUUAUAGAUGGAUCCGCGCCGCAUUAGCUAGUUGGUAAGGUAACGGCUUACCAAGGCAACGAUGCGUAGCCGACCUGAGAGGGUGAUCGGCCACACUGGAACUGAGACACGGUCCAGACUCCUACGGGAGGCAGCAGUAGGGAAUCUUCCGCAAUGGGCGAAAGCCUGACGGAGCAACGCCGCGUGAGUGAUGAAGGUCUUCGGAUCGUAAAACUCUGUUAUUAGGGAAGAACAAAUGUGUAAGUAACUAUGCACGUCUUGACGGUACCUAAUCAGAAAGCCACGGCUAACUACGUG
rnacentral:rRNA from 1 species